rnacentral:rRNA from 1 species
AUUGAACGCUGGCGGCAUGCCUUACACAUGCAAGUCGAACGGCAGCACGGGAGCAAUCCUGGUGGCGAGUGGCGAACGGGUGAGUAAUAUAUCGGAACGUGCCCAGUCGUGGGGAUAACGUAGCGAAAGCUACGCUAAUACCGCAUACGAUCUAUGGAUGAAAGCGGGGGAUCGCAAGACCUCGCGCGAUUGGAGCGGCCGAUAUCAGAUUAGGUAGUUGGUGAGGUAAAGGCUCACCAAGCCGACGAUCUGUAGCUGGUCUGAGAGGACGACCAGCCACACUGGGACUGAGACACGGCCCAGACUCCUACGGAGGCAGCAGUGGGGAAUUUUGGACAAUGGGCGCAAGCCUGAUCCAGCAAUGCCGCGUGCAGGAUGAAGGGCCUUCGGGUUGUAAC